rnacentral:misc_RNA from 1 species
GGUUCUGGCAUUGUCGUUUAUAGAAGGCACAGUUGGGAGGCCGUUCUAUCCGCUGCCUAGUAAGGUGGAGUUGAAGAACAGAUUGCCUCUGCAGAGUUUCCGGCCGUAUAAUAUCGCUCACCGGGGGUCGAAUGGGGAGAUCCCCGAAGAAACAGCUGAAGCGUACAUGAGAGCUAUUGAAGAAGGUGCAGACUUCAUAGAAACUGAUAUUCUCGCAACCAAAGAUGGUAAACUCAUAUGCUUUCAUGAUGUAAUACUGGAUGACAUGACUGACAUCGCCAAUCACAAGGAG